UGGUGUUAAUGAAUUCGACUUUUAAACAAGCGUGUUGUUUAAAAUCUUCAUUUUUCUUUGAAGAACAUUUCUUUAUGUUUUGUUAUCCACCUUUUUAAUCAAUUCCAAGUUGCCUUAUAAUUUUUUUUCAAAAUAUGAUGAAAGAUUGUAACGAGUUAAUUUACCAGAUCAAGCGCCAGCAACAUUUUCGUUUACUCCGAUCAACCUUUGAUGUGUGGGAAUAUAAUGCUUUACAAUAUGAAUAUGAAAGACAAAGAAGAAUUGUUGCUGGGGAAACGGCUACGGGUAUUUUAAAUAUAACAAAAGCAUUGAAGUGCUGGAAGGUAUAUAGUCAGUGGAAGCGGAAUAAAAAAAAAUGUAUUCGUCAUGUUGCUUUUUCCCAUUGCUUACACCGAUGGUUCUCUCAAACAGUUCAAGUAACCCAUGAGAAGUCUUUGAAUACUUUCCCACAGCUUAUAGCGAAUCUUGUAAGAAUUUCCCGUAACGCACAAUGCAUUAGUAAAAUGACUGGUCAAACAAUGGUAUUUUACGAUUUCGAAAAACAUAUCAAAGGAUUUUCAGCAGUUGGAUUCUGUGGUUUAUUGUCUUUCGUGUCAAGAUACACAAAUUACCAAAAAAACAUACUGAGCGUGAGAAGUGAUGUGCAACCUACAUUCUUAAGCAAUGUACGCAUGUUGUAUGUGGCCCGUUGUAUUCGUGUCGAAAGUGAAACAUGGCAAGGUUUCUUCGCAUUGGAGUGUAUUGAUGUUCCCUGGCCGAUUCAUCAUGGAAAAUUAUGGAAUCGGCACAAAGCACUUGCCUCACUGUUUCGCUGGGCCUUAUUAAAAGUCCAAUUAAAUAAAUGGUGUUUUUAUUUAAAGUAUAAGAAAGAAAUGAAAAAACGCCGCAUCCUUUUGUCAUGUCGUAUGUGGAUGUCGUAUGCUUUUAAAAAAAAAUACAACACUAGGCACAAAAUAUUAAUGGAAGAAACGUUACGUAAAACCUUAGCUACUUGCUUACUUCGUUGCUCGUGGGUUGUCUGGAAAGUCGUGUUUUUCAAAUCUCUCAAGCUAAAAGAAUUAUGUUUUAAAGUGGUGUCAAUAAAAACCCAAAAAUCGGUAAAGUCAGCUUGCGGGAUUUGGAAGCAAUCGGUGACGCAUUGGAGUUUACUGAAAAGUCGCGAAGAAUUUCUAACAAAGCAGUGGACUCUUCUUUCAAGUUUACGACAGUGGCGUUCUUUUAUUCAGAACAAGACAUUUGUAAUUGUGUCCAUUAAAAAAUUAAAAGUGAAGACAAACCAAACAAUUUUAAGACAACAUUUCAUUUCUUGGCGGAUGCAGUUUUUGCAUUGCAUUCUAUGUCAAAUGAUUCAAAAAUCACGGACUGAAACAUCAAUAAAAUAUGUUUUGGUGGUGUGGAAGCGUCAGGCGGAUUUUCAAAAAAGACUUGAAAAUUUUUUUUUAUCUUGUAUAGAACGUAUGACUCAAAAAAGUAUCCAAGCCUGGCGUUACAAGGCUUUAUUUUUUGAGAAAGUCAAGUGUUAUUUGUUGAAAAGAGAAAAAAAAAUGGUUUCUUUAGCUUUUUAUCAAUGGUCAUAUUUUCAACAGUGGCAUUACCAUUUCGAGAUGAAAAAAAAAUAUCUUCAAACUCAUUUAAAUCAGCGACAAUUGAAUCGAAUCUAUAAUUAUUUAAAACGCUGCAGUCGCUUACGACAAGGUUAUCGUAAAGCUAGCGAAAUGUUAGAGAAAUAUGUUUGUAUACCUAACGCUAUAAAGCGUUGGGUUAUCAUAACAAAAAACAGUAUGAAUAUGGAGCAAGAAAUUGUUUCCGUUAUUCAAUUACAAAAAAUGAAACGAUUAUUACAAGAUUGGAAAGCUCAACACAAGAAUUUAAAAGAAGAAAAAAACUUUCAUGACAGGCAACAAAGGGCUUUAAUGCUUGUUCUACACAAAAAAAAACAAAGUUUAUGGCAGCAAUGGUUUCGUUAUACGCAAUUCUGUUCGAGGUUACGGGAUCGGCAAGUUGCUUGUCAAACAGAUUCUCUGUUUUGGUACGUUUUUCGUACUGGAGUAUGUUCAUCUGAAAAUGUUUUUUGUCAUUUCAAUAAAAAAAAAAAAUCGACUUUUGGUUUUUUAAGAAAAAAAAAUGUGACAAUUCUAUUUAAUGCUGAAACAUUUGUUACUUUUAUUCAAUUUUGUUUCAAUGCUCAAGAAUUUAUUUUUUUUUGGGCUUCUCUUGGAAAUAUUUUACAAGACAUUAUUUUGCAUCGGACUUUCAAAUUGAAAACAAAAUUGGUUUCAGCUUUGAAACACUGGGAAAAGUCCAGCCAUUUUCAUCAAGUCACAAAAUGUUUAUACAAGCGUUUGGAAAUUCAACAAAAACAACAAUUGAACAUGGUUUUAAAUGAGUGGGUGCAUUACGUUGUACAUGAACAAAAAAAACGUUCACUAAAGGUCAUUCGACUUGAACAAGUUGAGAGUCAUUUUUUCAAAACAUGGAGAGACAUUUUCAAUUUAAAAGUCGACUUGAAGAAAACAGCAGAUUCUCUACAAACACGUACAACUUCAAAGUUUCUAGCCAAUUAUUGGUCACUCUGGUUGACAUAUUAUAAACAACAAACAUCGCUUCAAUUCAAAGCUUAUUGCGUACAUUGUCAACGGUGUGAAACUCAGUUAGCGUCUGCCGUUUUUUCAUGGUCCUCUUUCACAAAAAUGCAACGAAAAAUGAACGAUGCUUUAAGUGCACUUGAUACAAAACGCACAUUUCACAGACUUGAACAUUGUUAUUUUUCAUGGAAAUCUCUUUUACAAAACCGCGUUCAGUGCCAAAAUUUUUUUAUCUUUCUACAUGUUCGUUUGAUUCAAACCCAUUUGUUACCCGCUUGGAAUAUAUUUGCUACUAAAAAAGUGAAAUCUGAGAUGACUCGAAGGUCACAAGAAAGGUUGUUUGUACGAAAACGACAUGAAAACUGUCUGAAAGUUUGGUUCUAUUUCCAACAGCAUCGUAGAAAAUUCGCGAAUUUGUGUAGGUUUUUAAGCCAAAAGAUAAAACAACGGUAUUAUAAAAGAUUAGUGGAACGUCAUAGAACGUUAACGUGUGUUUGGACGAAGUAUUGUUUCCAAAAGUGUUUGAGUGUGUGGGGAAAAAUGAUUUGUAUAAAAAAGAAUUUAAUGAAAAAGAUGAAUGCUCUCAAGACGCUCCACCAUUUUCAUCUCAUGACCUAUUUUUUUCAAAGAAUUUGGUUAAGAUCAACAUGUUUUGUAUUGAAACUGAAAUUUCGACUAUUUCUGUUUGUCACGACCUUACCAACGAUGACCCAAGGAACGUUUGAAAGAUCAGCAGGAAGUGUUUAUGCUGGGUGCUUAAAGAUAUUUCAACAAUCAGCGGGGAAGGAUUUAUGCAUUAGCUUGGAAUUUUUGAAAAAGAAUCAACUUGAUGAGUAUGAAAUUAUAGCGUCAUCUCGGGAACGGAAAACAUCCUUAUUGUUUUUAAAAAAGCUACAAAAAGAAACUCCAAUGCAAGUGUUGUCAAGACGUUUGUAUGAUUCCCCUACUGAUAUGUGUUAUGCUCAUUUGCUUACAAAUUUUAAUCGUAUGAGACGUGUUCAAAAAGGCUGCCAAAGUUGGAGUUCCUGGACUUUUGAUCGGAAAAAAAAACACAUAGCCGAAAAAAGAUGUUUUUAUAUUAUUAAUUGGAAAUAUCAACUUUGUGUUUUACGUGGAUGUAUGACUCAAAUGAACAAGGUGUUAAAAGAACUACACAUCCGACGGGAUACCCAAUGUUUCGAUUUGGAAAACUAUUUACAUAUGAAAAGUCAAACACGUUUUUGGGAAACUUGGCGACUUUAUGUGCUAACCAGUGUAAUUCAAUUGGAAACCAACGUGCGACAUGUUGCCGUGAAACUUUGGGGUCACAAAAGUCGUUUAGCAAGAGUGUAUGGUGUUUAUAAUGAGGUCGAUCGUCUUUUCACCGCUUGGACUUUUUUUACAAAACAAAGCCUCACUCGAAUAGUGGUUUUUAAAAAGAAAACUGUUCAAAACGUUUUACACAAUUGGAAGUAUUUAACCCUUUGUGAGCGGUUUAUCAAAAACAAGUCAAUAAAAAGUUUGCAAAAAGUGUAUUAUACGAAAUGGCGAAAACGUUUUCAACUAUACUAUUCAACGCAACGCUUAACUUUUAUUUUAAAUCAAUGUGUUCGGUCGUAUGAUCCUUUUUUUUUUUUCUUUCGAAUGUUGAAAAUUUUAAUGGCACGUCAUUGUUUUCAACUUGAAUCAAAGCGAAACGUUAUUGAGUGUUGGUCAUCUUUGUAUUGCGGUUUGAUGAAAAGAGUCAAUGAUUUUAAAACGCGUCAUCACAAACGUUUAACUAUAAAAUACUUGUAUUCCAUGCAACAGCGUGUUCUUUCAUCACUCCAGGAACGUUUACUGGAAACGACUCUUCACAAAUUGAUUCAUUUUCAAUUACGUCGACGGUAUUGGAAUCGAUUCCGCAGUUGUUUUAAGCAUGCUGAUCAUCUGCAUGGGAUUGCACGGCGUUUUAAUGCAUUUUAUUCUUUAAGCAAAAGUCUUAAUGUAUGGAUGCAUUUUACUCGCUCUAAAUAUUGGAUACGUUCCGUUGAAAUGACCACUUUAGCUGGUAUUUUUCAAUGUUGGAAAUAUACGGCAUCUUUUCAACAACGUCACACCCUCUUUCAAUAUCAAUUAAAAAAACGUACUUUUCAAAUGUUUUCGAAAAGUAUUGAUUCCAUCAAUCGUUCACGUCGUCUUGAUCACAUUUUGAAAUGGAAAUCUCAACAUAUCUUUUUUCAACGGUGGAGUCGUACACUGACACUCAUUCGAAAUUUGAAAAGUCAUGUGAAGAUUUUACAAAACCAAUUGGAAUUCACCAUUAAAAAAAAAUUAUUUCAUGAAUGGCUCGAACAAUGUCGAAUUCACCGCCAAAAAAAGUAUCAACAUUUCGUUAACGCAAUUUUAUGUGACUCAAGCGUUAGGCUGCCCUUAGUUGAAAGAAUCCAAUUGCAUUAUCAAACAAUACUUAAAAAAGACACUUUUCAGCAACUUGGUGCCUACACGCAAUCAAUUGUCAAACUGGAAAUGAUUUUUAUAAAAUCUAAAUUUAAAUCAUGGAAACAGUUAUUUGACUCUAUUCAACAAUAUCAAAAAGAUAAAAGAACCAAAGUGUUACGAGGACUUGAAAUAUGGUAUUUCUAUACGUUGCGUGAACGAAAAAAAAAAAAAUGGCUUUUUAAAGAAAACCAAAUAAGACAGUGUCGUUUACGAAUCAAUUUAGGUUACGUUUUCAAUGCGUGGAAAUAUUUUAUUUUGCACAGCCAAAGAUUACGCGUUAUUCGCCAAGAACAAACAGAACGUGUUUUGACAAAUUGUUUUAUUCAAUGGAGAUUACUAUUACGAACUCAAUGGUGUCAAGAAACGAUUUCUCGCAUUAAACCUUCCAUUUUAAAUGGAUUGAAAUUAAAUGGAUUCAUGGAUCAUUCUUGGAGUUGUUAUAUCUCUCACAAAAACUUGAGACAUAUCGUCUUUCAAACAUGGCUAUUACGAACUUACCGUCUGUCGUGGAAUCGUGAAUGUGUUCGAAGGCAAAAACUUUUGUAUCAAUCGGCGUGUGAAAAAAAAAUAAAAUUAUGUUUGCUUCAAUGGAAGCAAUUAAAACUUUCAAAAUAAAUAGGUUUUUUGAUGGAUCCAUCUGUCGCAAGUAGGACCUUUUAAAAAUAAUGCAUGUAGAGAUCUGUUUUGUAGUCGAUCAAAACCUCAUGAUCUAAUCUGUGGUAACGUGUGUUAACUAUUCAACCUAGUUUUAUGUGUAUGUGUCAUCCUAUUUUAUAGUUUUUUUUUUAUUUUGUUUUAAAAAAGAUUCUUAUUAAACUCGAAACAAAAAUUCUUUUAUUGAUACUAAAUAGACUAACAAUGGCUUCAGUUCAUGUAUCAAGACUUCUUGAUGGCGCUGUUAUGGCAAUAUUUCUUUUAUUUUUAUCAGGAGGGUCGUUAUUCAUGCUAGCACAAUUAUGGACAUUGUCGCAAAACACAAUGUUUGACCAGUGGAAAAUCGGACAGAUUGUUCGUUCAGUUUUCCCUUUCUCGAAACGGUUUGAAUUUACCUUGUCUCACAUGCUUCUAUUUUCCAUUGUGAUAUGUCUUCUAAGUUUUCGAUCGGAUCCGAUUCCUGUGGAACAAGUGAAAAAAGACAAACGACGAGAUUAAAUAAUGUGGCUUAGCUUUGAGUGUCACGAUAAAAUGUGUGAUUUAAAAAAAAAUCAUGUUAUGAACUUUAAAAUAACAACUCUGUUAGG